ACCCUCUGGUUCCCUUUCCCAUGGGAUCUGAACACUGAUCUUGGUGGUUGUAAAGGAGGAAAAGUAAUACUGAAGCUGGCCUCACAGUGCUUGUAGUCUGUGGGCUAGUUUCAAACAAGG
rnacentral:snoRNA from 1 species